rnacentral:rRNA from 1 species
AUGGGUGAUGGCAUUGAAAUCGCCAUGGAGUAUGCUGAUGAUAUUUUGAUGCCACAACUUGACAACUCAGUUCCCAAAGUGGACUAUGAUAAUUUCUACAAUUCUCUGAAGGCAAUAGGAAAGGUUGAUAAUGAAAUAUUCAAUGCCUAUGUCCAAGUUUUCAAUUACGAUAAUGAAAGUCCAGCUCCAAAAACUAAAGAACCUUCAAAGUAUUGCUUUACUUCCUACUUCAAGGAGAAACUGCUUCUAGAUCCCCGAAACUUCAAUUCUAGGUCUUGCCUAAGAGAAUUCAAGAAACUAUACUCGGGGAAGAGCUUACAUAAGCGUGAUCUAGUACACAUUUUUUUAUCAUUCCAUGAAACCAUCAUUUUUGCAUCUUUUUCAUCUAUACUCAUUUUUCUACUUUAA